rnacentral:rRNA from 1 species
GUCGAGCGAACGAGGAAGAAACUUGUUUCUUCCUUUGUUAGCGGCGGAUGGGUGAGUAACACGUGGGCAACCUGCCCUGCAGUUGGGGAUAACUCCGGGAAACCGGGGCUAAUACCGAAUAAUCAGUUCCUUCGCAUGAAGGAACUCUGAAAGACGGCUAUGCUGUCACUGCAGGAUGGGCCCGCGGCGCAUUAGCUAGUUGGUGAGGUAACGGCUUACCAAGGCGACGAUGCGUAGCCGACCUGAGAGGGUGAUCGGCCACACUGGGACUGAGACACGGCCCAGACUCCUACGGGAGGCAGCAGUAGGGAAUCUUCCACAAUGGACGAAAGUCUGAUGGAGCAACGCCGCGUGAGCGAAGAAGGUUUUCGGAUCGUAAAGCUCUGUUGUGAGGGAAGAACAAGUACAGGAGUAACUGCCUGUACCUUGACGGUACCUCAUUAGAAAGCCACGGCUAACUACGUGCCAGCAGCCGCGGUAAUACGUAGGUGGCAAGCGUUGUCCGGAAUUAUUGGGCGUAAAGCGCGCGCAGGCGGCCUUUUAAGUCUGAUGUGAAAGCCCACGGCUUAACCGUGGAAGGUCAUUGGAAACUGGAAGGCUUGAGUACAGAAGAGGAAAGCGGAAUUCCACGUGUAGCGGUGAAAUGCGUAGAGAUGUGGAGGAACACCAGUGGCGAAGGCGGCUUUCUGGUCUGUAACUGACGCUGAGGCGCGAAAGCAUGGGGAGCAAACAGGAUUAGAUACCCUGGUAGUCCAUGCCGUAAACGAUGAGUGCUAAGUGUUAGGGGGUUUCCGCCCCUUAGUGCUGGAGCAAACGCAUUAAGCACUCCGCCUGGGGAGUACGGCCGCAAGGCUGAAACUCAAAGGAAUUGACGGGGACCCGCACAAGCGGUGGAGCAUGUGGUUUAAUUCGAAGCUACCCGAAGAACCUUACCAGGUCUUGACAUCCCGCUGACCGGUAUAGAGAUAUACCUUUCCCUUCGGGGACAGCGGUGACAGGUGGUGCAUGGUUGUCCUCAGCUCGGGUCGGGAAAUGUUGGGUUAAGUCCCGUAACGAGCGCAACCCUUGACCUUAGUUGCCAGCAUUCAGUUGGGCAUCUAAGGUGACUGCCGGUGACAACCGGAGGAAGGUGGGGAUGACUUCAAUCAU